GUUUUUAUAAUUUAAAAAAAAUAUUAGUCUUGUAAACUAAAAAUAAGAAAUAAACUUUAAAAACA
rnacentral:tRNA from 1 species